CCUGACCUCGUGAUCCGCCCGCCUCGGCCUCCCAAAGUGCUGGGAUUACAGACAUGAGCCACCGCGCCCGGCUCAACAUAUUAACAUUUUUUGAGCUUGCAUUUUGGAAUGUUCUUUUUAGGUUUCUCUGAGCUGGACUGACAGUUGCUGUAUCACUGGCAAUGGUACGGAAAGUUUGCUGCUUUGCCUUUACUGUUCUCAUUUUAAAUCCGACCUGGAGAAGGUCACGCUGCCCCUUCGACCUUGACGUCUGCAGCACCGUUCUGCACACACUGCGAGGAGGAAGGAGACCACUUCUAAAAUGAGGGACAUUGACUGCCCGUCCAACCGGGUGCCGUUCCCGGAAGUGCAUGCCCAGCUCGCCCUCCGCCCAGCCACACCCCUCCCAGGAAGCUGGAGGAGCACAAGCACUUGUUCCUGAUGAUGGAUGCUCCAAAGAUCCAGGACCCUGAGUGAGAACAAUGUGGAACAGAGUCCCUCACCAAUCCAGAAUGAAGUGGAAAUUGGAAGACCUGGAGCCCAUUAGAGGACAAUUCUUUUGCCUCCAAGGGUUGUAACUUUUCCCCAGCAGAUACUGGACUCCAUCGUGCAGACAACCUUCUUUAGUGAGAAAAUGCACAACUGACUUCCAAUCAGCUAACAUUUCUUCCCUGCUUGAGUCAUGACUGAGUUAUUUGAGAGAAAACUUCUUUCUUUUCUAUAGUUAUUUUGCUUAAAAUCAUCAUCAAAGACUAUGUUUUGUUUUUUUUCUACUCUCUUUGAAAGUAUGGACACUUACGUUGAGUGUUUGGUGCUAAGUUAGAUAGCCACAUUCCUAUUUUUUUCAAAUCUUCUUUCCUUAUUUCUUUCUCUUUAUUCCAAACCUUGUCAGAGUUGCUACAAAAUUAAUUGAACUCUCAGUUAAGUAGAGCUAAUAUUAAUCUAGUUCUUACCAUUUUAGGAUAUUCGUUAAAGGAAUUAAGUACAUUUGGGAAGGAGUUUUAUUUAACCUGAAAAUGGCUUGAAAAUUACAUCCUAUUAUUGUUGUGUUAUUGUAUGUUUUUCCAACCAGUAUGGUUUCUGACUUUCAACACAUUUUAUGUGAAAUGUUUUGCAUGGAACUAAUUAUUCUCAACAACAAAUUCCUAAUCCAGUAUCAGCCAUUCACUGGGUACCUAAGCAAGAAGGUUUUAUGCUCUCUAAAACUAAAAUUGCAUCGAAUCUACCUUUUCUCAUUAGGGCAGAGUUUAAAAAAUGAACAUAAAGAUGUGUUCAAAGAAAAGCUCAUUUAAAAUAAAUAUUUUGUGCAAAAUGCUUAUUUUGUGUACAUUUGAUCAGAUUGUUGGAGAAAUUAUAUCCCUUCCUCAGGGCCUCUGUAGUAGCCAAGAUGGUUUACUUCAUUUAUCAGUAUUCAAAUCUGACAUUUGGAGGCUGAGCAUUUAGAGAGAAAUACCCAUGGCCUGGAUUUCACAUCUCUCCCAGCCAAUGAAGCCAGGUUUAAAAAAAUGGAAAAAGAAAAACAAGAAAAAUGUUUAGUAGCUAGCAUUAAAUCAAGUUUUACCUGAUGGACUUGAAAGGAUAGUUUUAAUAAAGUAAAGGUCAGAGAAUGCAUAUAAUUCUCUUCCUCCUUCUUUUUGUUAAUUGUUUGAACUUUUUACUCUGUAAAAACAUUUCAGAUGGGCCGGGCAUGGUGGCUCACACCUGUAAUCCCAGCACUUUGGGAGGCCAAAGCGGGCGGAUCACGAGGUCAAGAGUUCGAGACCAGCCUGGCCAACAUGGUGAAACCCUGUCUCUACUAAAAAUACAAGAAUUAGCUGGGCAUGGUGGCGGGUGCCUGUAAUCCCAGCUACCAGGGAGGCUGAGGCAGGACAAUCACUUGAACCCAGGAGGCGGAGGUUGCAGUGAGCCGACAUCGCACCACUGCACUCCAGCCUGGGCAGAAGAGCAAAACUCUAUCUCAAAGAAAAGAAAAGAAAAAAAGAAAAAAAACUUCAGGAAGUAUUAUUUAUUUUAUUUGUUUACAUUUUAACCAAUCUUGGGGGAACGUGUAGUUUUUGUAUGCCAAUAAAUAUGGAGAGCUACAUGGGGAUGGAUCUUACUUUUUCCCAAUUCUAUUAUUUAU
rnacentral:lncRNA from 1 species